GGAGAAGGGCUGUGGCUCAGGGGUAGAACAUCUGCUUUGCAUGCAGAAGGACUCAGGUUUGAUCCCCAGCAUCUCCA